rnacentral:ribozyme from 1 species
UGCCCAGCAACUCCUAUCCCUACCUCCUCGUGGUACUGGCCGGGGUACGAGUAACCUAAGGGAAGA